AUUGAACGCUGGCGGCAGGCUUAACACAUGCAAGUCGAGCGGGGGAAGGUAGCUUGCUACCGGACCUAGCGGCGGACGGGUGAGUAAUGCUUAGGAAUCUGCCUAUUAGUGGGGGACAACAUCUCGAAAGGGAUGCUAAUACCGCAUACGUCCUACGGGAGAAAGCAGGGGAUCUUCGGACCUUGCGCUAAUAGAUGAGCCUAAGUCGGAUUAGCUAGUUGGUGGGGUAAAGGCCUACCAAGGCGACGAUCUGUAGCGGGUCUGAGAGGAUGAUCCGCCACACUGGGACUGAGACACGGCCCAGACUCCUACGGGAGGCAGCAGUGGGGAAUAUUGGACAAUGGGGGGAACCCUGAUCCAGCCAUGCCGCGUGUGAAGAAGGCCUUAUGGUUGUAAAGCACUUUAGGCGAGGAGGAGGCUACUCUAGUUAAUACCUAGGGAUAGUGGACGUUACUCGCAGAAUAAGCACCGGCUAACUCUGUGCCAGCCGCCGCCGUAA
rnacentral:rRNA from 1 species